AUCCAGAGAACUUAGCAGAGAUGCUUUGGUGCCUUCGGGAACUCUGAGACAGGUGCUGCAUGGCUGUCGUCAGCUCGUGUUGUGAAAUGUUGGGUUAAGUCCCGCAACGAGCGCAACCCUUAUCCUUUGUUGCCAGCGGUUCGGCCGGGAACUCAAAGGAGACUGCCGGUGAUAAACCGGAGGAAGGUGGGGAUGACGUCAAGUCAUCAUGGCCCUUACGGCCAGGGCUACACACGUGCUACAAUGGCGCAUACAAAGAGAAGCGACCUCGCGAGAGCAAGCGGACCUCAUAAAGUGCGUCGUAGUCCGGAUUGGAGUCUGCAACUCGACUCCAUGAAGUCGGAAUCGCUAGUAAUCGUAGAUCAGAAUGCUACGGUGAAUACGUUCCCGGGCCUUGUACACACCGCCCGUCACACCAUGGGAGUGGGUUGCAAAAGAGGUAGGUAGCUUAACCUUCGGGAGGGCGCUUACCACUUUGUGAUUCAUGACUGGGGUGAAGUCGUAACAAGGUAAGCGUAGCGAG
rnacentral:rRNA from 1 species